GACUGAGUGGCGGACGGGUGAGUAACGCGUGGGUAACCUGCCUUGUACAGGGGGAUAACAGUUGGAAACGGCUGCUAAUACCGCAUAAGCGCACAGCAUCGCAUGAUGCAGUGUGAAAAACUCCGGUGGUAUGAGAUGGACUCGCGUCUGAUUAGCUGGUUGGUGAGGUAACGGCCCACCAAGGCGACGAUCAGUAGCCGGCCUGAGAGGGUGAACGGCCACAUUGGGACUGAGACACGGCCCAAACUCC
rnacentral:rRNA from 1 species